rnacentral:rRNA from 1 species
CCUACGGAUGGCAGCAGUAGGGAAUAUUGCUCAAUGGGGGAAACCCUGAAGCAGCAACGCCGCGUGGAGGAUGAAGGUUUUCGGAUUGUAAACUCCUUUUGUUAGAGAAGAUAAUGACGGUAUCUAACGAAUAAGCACCUGCUAAUUCCGUGCCAGCAGCCGCGGUAAUACGGAGGGUGCAAGCGUGACUCGGAAUCACUGGGCGGAAAGAGCGCGUAGGCGGGGUAGCAAGUCAGAUGUGAAAUCCUAUGGCUUAACCAUAGAACUGCAUUUGAAACUGUUAUUCUAGAGUAUGGGAGAGGUAGGUGGAAUGCUUGGGGUAGGGGUAAAAUCCGUAGAGAUCAAGAGGAAUACUCAUUGCGAAGGCGACCUGCUAGAACAUAACUGACGCUGAUGCGCGAAAGCGUGGGGAGCAAACAGGAUUAGAUACCCCAGUAGUC